rnacentral:rRNA from 1 species
GGUUGAUCCUGCCAGUAGUCAUAUGCUUGUCCCAAAGAUUAAGCCAUGCAUGUCCAAGUAUAUACCUUUAUACGGUGAAACUGCGAAUGGCUCAUUAUAUCAGUUAUAAUUUACUUGAAGAUUUCUUUACUACAUGGAUAACUGUGGUAAUUCUAGAGCUAAUACAUGCGUAAGAAGCCCGAUUGGGAUAGUAUUUAUUAGAUAAAAACCAAUUGCCAGUAAAAUGGCAGAUUUGGCGAGUCAUGAUAACUUUGCGGAUCGCAUGGCCUUGAGCCGGCGACGCUUCAUUCAAA